UCACUCUCUCUCUCACACACACACUCUCACUCCCUCUCUCUCUCUCACUCUCUCUGUCCAUUUUUAAAAAGUUUGUUCCUCUCACUUCUUGCCUCCCACCCUCCCAAUCAGUCUCAUUUACAAACAGAACUGGCUGCAGGACGGCCUCCUGUGUUUAUUAUUUGGCCUCUAUAAACAGAUGAUUUCAAACCAUCGGCCUCCUGGCGUACAGCUAAACACAAGCGCUGGCUAUCUGGCAGCGCGCUGCAUUUGACCUGAAGUUAUCUUGCUGUGUAAACUGUCUGAGGCGAGAGUCUGCCGCGACAAGGAAAGCAAUCGGUUUGGUUUCUAAAUGCAGAGUACCUAACAUUAGAACCUACCACUUAGAUUACAAAGAGGGUCCUACAAAAUCGAGAAAAUGUGCAGGGAAAAGAAAAACAGACGAUCAACAUCAACAGACGGGCUUGUGCUACUGAACUGGGCAGGAUUUGGAAGAAUUUCCUUCGUGGCAUUUUCGUUUGCUCAUGAUGCUAGUGUGAAUGUAUUUGACCUUUGGCAUGAGCAAAAUAAUAUCCUGGAAGCAGACUCCCUUUAACAAUAUAUGUCAAAAUAACUGAUUAAAUAAAUAGGAUAAGUACACAAGCGACAUGAAGAAUCGCUGACGCAGAACACUUGAGGUACAAAAGUAAAUAAAUACAAACUAAGCGCUGGAUAAAGCAAAUAAAGCCAUAAAGUUGUUGACCUUAUUUUUGGCUUUCGCCUUAUCUGUAUGUUUGGAGAUGACAGCAUACAUAUUUCAAUGACAUGGAAAUAAAUUUCACAAAUGGAUCUCAAUAAAUCCAGCAGCGGAGGCAUUUUUCGUAGCAUGGGAAGCUAACGCUGUGGUGGUUUGGACAGUUGUGAAUCACAGCGUGUUAGUUGCUCCGAGUGACUGCUCUGUUAGUGAUUUAAGACAGACGUGUUGACCCCUCAGCUGAGAAAAAAGGCUUCAGGAAGCUCAGACUUGUUAUUAAAAGAGGGGAGACUAUCCGUGACUCAGUAGCAGCACCGGGGGUUCCACAGGUGUGUGUGUGUGUGUGUGCGUGUGUGUGUGUCUGGUGCUAGGCAGUCAGAGCUCCAAUGAAAAAAAAAAAAAAGAAGAAGGAAAAAAAAAAGAAAAGAAUGACAGAAGAAAAAUGAGACGCUUGAAGAUCAAGGGGGUCUUUCGCAAACGUUCCAGAUGUUCCGAUCUGGAAGCCCAGAGGUUUUGGGAAAGAGACACAGCUGCCAAUGAGACAUCAGGACUGCUGGAGUGAUGGCCUCUGUCCCUCCAUCCAUCUCUCCGAUCUCUCCUCGAGAAUGAUGAUGAAUAUGGGAACCCCCACUUAUACAACCUGCACCGCUCUCGGACCUUCUCACAAUCUCCAUUCUCAUCUUACCCAAUUCACAUGAGAUCAGGAAAAACCUUAAAUCUUGCAGUUUCAACAGCGGAGCGUGUGUGCGUAUGACUGAGUGUGAGUGCAUGUGUGUGUGUGUGAUGACACACUCUGCAGGGCCUCUGGUCAGGCAAUGUGGUGGAUAAUAUGCUCCACACACACCUAACGGGGUUCCGAGUUUCUGUCGACUGCUCCACACCAAGGCUGAGCCACAUUACACAGCCAGCAUCCAUAAAAAAGACCCAGAUUUGUGUCCAUGGAAACACUCAAAUAUGUUUCGUUUCAGUUUAUCAGUUUUAUGCUCUAUGUCAGUUCCUGUCACCUCCACUGGAUAACAAGAGGAUUUCAGAAAUAUAAAUCAGAGGCUUGUAUUUUUAUCACAUUUAUAAGAGGAGAUGAAAACAAGAGAUAUAGCACUUAAUUACAUCAAUUAAUGACAAUUAGUGAUACAAACUAAAAAACAAAUGGGAAAUUCUGAUAUAUUCUUAGUAAUGGCAAAAUGGCAAAAAUAAAUAUAAUAAACAUGCUACUUGCAAAAUUGUAAGUGCAUGGUUGGCCAAGCAAAGAAUUUAAAGAACUAUUUCAUCUCUACUAAAGAUCCAGCCAAGAGCACAAAUGGCCUGUUCGUUUAGAUCCACUGAGAUAAAAUGAGCACCACAGAAUGGUCCAGAACUCUACUUCAGCACUGAGGUAACAGUCUAUGAGGUCAAUACCUGCUGACAUGUCAGGACAGUGAUGUAAUUUCCUCUAGUGGAACAAGAGAGGGAUAGGGAACAUGGUAAGCUGGGCCAAGGGCGGCAAUUUUAGACCCCUCAGCAGUACAAGAGCAGCAGAGACGUCUGUGUGUGGGUGUGUGUGCGUGUGUUUGUGCGUGUAUAUGUGUGUGUGUAAUGGUGGAGGAUAGGGGCAAAUAAAUGUCAGAUUGGAGAACAGUGUUUGUGUGUGUGUGUGUGUGUGUGUGUGUGUGAGAGUGUGAGUGUGUGUGUGUGUGUGUGUGUGUGUGAGAGAGAGAGAGAAAGAAAGAAAGGAAGAAAGAAAGAAAGAAAUGGCCAUGACAUUUCUUCCCAGAGCCCGUCUGUUAUGUUAGCAUCUCAGCAUGCAAAGAAAUGCACAUAUGAAGAAAGAGAGUCCGAUUGCUUCUCAGAUUUCAAAAUGACACAGCCUCCAACCCACCCACAGAAAGAUGCAUACAUGCACAUAUACUGGACACUGCAUACAUGCACAUAUACUGGAUACUGCAUACAUGCACAUAUACUGUACACUGCAUACAUGCACAUAUACUGUACACUGCACUACCACCAGUAACUCACUUCUGAGAGUGUGAAAAAAAAUGUGUUGAGUUACAGCAUUUUUCAGCACCAAAAUAUCUUGGUACCAAAGUAUCAAUGUUUGAGCUUAUUUCCUGAAGUGAGAGACAGAUAAACUGUUUAAAGGAAAAGGUCUAAAAAUAAAAGUGCAAACACACAAUGACACACUUUUAAUGUACUCAUAUUCUUUGUGAUUAUGCCAACACCCUCAAUGACAACAAAUAUCUCUUCUUUCUAUUCCAGUAGAAUUUGUAUUUUACUUAGACAUAUAAAAGGAUACUGGUAGUCUUAGGUCACUAGCCCCAAUUAUGACUGAAAAGUAAUGUUUAUAAUCACCUUCUUUUAUUUAUUAGAAGAUAUUUGUGUUGUUUGUCAUUUAUUACAAGAUAUUGGUGUCAUUUGUGAUUUAUUACAAGAUAUUUGUGUCAUUUGUAAUUUAUUAGAAGAUAUUUGUGUGGGUUUCCCUCUCUAUUUUUGGAUUCUGUGAAGCAUUUUAUUCACAUUGCAAAAAAGGUGUUACAUGAAAAAAAAGGUCAUUGCUUUUGUUUUCCAAUGAGAACCUUACGGUACCUCACAGGACUUUUGUUACAACCAAAUCAUGCAGUAAUAGAGAAGUAGAAGUUUCAGAGAUAUGUUAUUAAUUGCAAAAGAAAAUAUUAUGCCAGAAUUUUAAUUAAACUGACUAAUACAAAAAUAUGUGCCGGCGUAGGAAAGUGAUCUGAGGACAAAUUCCACAUCCAAUCCUUGUAUAUUUGCAAAUUGAACACAAGACUCACUCAGACUUUGAAAAACAUUUUCACAUUUUGUAAUAUUCUACAAUCACACACGAGUCUCGGAAGAAUUGGAUGGAUAGGUUGCUCAACACCCUCCCCCUAGCCAAUUAAAAGACAUGCAAACUCC